rnacentral:rRNA from 1 species
UGGGGAAUAUUGCACAAUGGGGGAAACCCUGAUGCAGCGACGCCGCGUGAGUGAAGAAGUAUUUCGGUAUGUAAAGCUCUAUCAGCAGGGAAGAAAAUGACGGUACCUGACUAAGAAGCCCCGGCUAACUACGUGCCAGCAGCCGCGGUAAUACGUAGGGGGCAAGCGUUAUCCGGAUUUACUGGGUGUAAAGGGAGCGUAGACGGUAAAGCAAGUCUGGAGUGAAAGGCUGGGGCCCAACCCCGGGACUGCUCUGGAAACUGUUAAACUGGAGUGCAGGAGAGGCAGGCGGAAUUCCUAGUGUAGCGGUGAAAUGCGUAGAUAUUAGGAGGAACACCAGUGGCGAAGGCGGCUUACUGGACGGUAACUGACGUUGAGGCUCGAAAGCGUGGGGAGCAAACAGGAUUAGAUACC